CAUGGGAGAGCGCGCGAGAUGCGAAAAUUUUCGCUCCAAAUAAGCAAAAUCCCCAAACUCCAACUCAGACUAAAAUCCCCAAAUCGACCACCCUGACCUAGCCUCCUCCCCGAGCACAUGCCGCCGCCGCCCCCCACCCUGCGCGGCUGCCGACCGCCCUCCGCCACACUCCAGUGCCAGCUUCCUCCCCGACCACGCGCCGACCACCGUCCGCCACACCUAGUGCCACUCCUCCCGGACCAUGCCGCCGAGCACCCUCCGCCGCCCCGACCACCAUUCGCCGGACCUCCAGCAACGCCCAAGCAGCCAAACCUCCUACACGCAUCCUCCGCCAGGCUCCUCUAGGCUCGAGUUGCUCAAGUGUUUCAGCGGAAGGAUCUGUUCGAGUGAGGUUGUCCACAAGGAUGACGUCUAACUUCCACCAGAUCUGGCAUGAAACGAGGUAAUCCAGUUAGGUUUAGUUUUGAUUUGGCUGUCUUACCUCCCCGUACAGCAGUCUUGGCCUCUUUCCCAUCCGCCCUCGCUGUAGCACAUGGCUGCCAACAUUGUAUUCUCGGCUUGUAGGAUACCCAAGCGACUCGCAGAUGCGAAGGAAAAUUGAGCAAGGUUCCGCCUCCCAUGGUUGAGCAGUCGUAAGGGUUAUGUUGUCUCUCCAUGUUGCUGGUCAUAUGAGCCCAACUAAUAUUUGCUUCCUGUGAUCUACGGAAGGAUAAAAUUGAUGUUUCCUACCUGCCAUACUCAUCUAUUUCUGUUUUCAGUUGACAUGCCUACUGUACGAAUUACAGUCUUUGGUACAUUCACUUAUCCCUUCGAAUUUGACAAGCAUGGAAGAAUCUGAAUAUCACUUAUCCCUCUCCCGUUAUUAUUUAGCAUAUGUUAACUGACUGCUGUGUUUAUGCUUAUAUCCUUCGGUUAUUGUUUAUAACAAACCAAAUUAAGGAUUUUGUGUUCAUCUCUGAAACUUCAUAGUGAUGGUUGGUAUUUAAUCUUUCAAGGAAAUGCAGCAAACUGUUGUACUAGGAAGAUUAUCCUGACAUGGGAGUUUUUUUAGGAACAGGAGAGUUGCACACAUAUGAAGUAUAGAAAUUUAUUCUUAAUGUGCUAGGCUUAAUGCAACUAGAUAAAUAAUGUUCAACAAGGCAUAUUGAUGUGUUAAAUUGUUUUCAGUUUCAGUGUCAAUACAAGAAAGGUAACCUUGUGUUAGAUCUUCAAUCCAAGGGAGAAAUUGGAGCAUCGGGACAUUUAAACCGAACCUAAAUUAAGGUUGAUCUUUACUUGCAAUCUAAUUUGCAUAUUGGUGUGUGUUCUUCAGGAAUCAUGAUACUACUUUAUGAUCUGAUUGGUGAAAGAGGUUGAAAAUGUUCCUGUAAGAUUCGUCAAGAUACCUUGCCUUAACCAUAUGCCCUGAGUUCACACAGAAGUUACAGGCUUUACUCUUUGUGUUUGUUUCAUCUUGUACUGCUCAAGUUUCUAGAAACUACAGAUGCUAAAUUAUGAGGGAAGUCUUCAUGUGUAAUCAAUGAAUUGCUUACAUUGUAAAAUAUUUGAUGAUCAGACUUUAUAAUAUAUAUGCGAUGUGCAUCUGCAUAAUCUUUUUGCUUUA